rfam:Candidatus Lloydbacteria bacterium RIFCSPHIGHO2_01_FTLL_49_22 rifcsphigho2_01_scaffold_508, whole genome shotgun sequence.
GCCUUCGUAGCUCAGUUGGUAGAGCAGCUCGCUCUUAACGAGACGGUCGCAGGUUCGAAUCCUGCCGGGGGCA